UACGUAGGGCGCAAGCGUUAUCCGGAAUUAUUGGGCGUAAAGAGCUCGUAGGCGGUUUGUCGCGUCUGCCGUGAAAGUCCGGGGCUCAACUCCGGAUCUGCGGUGGGUACGGGCAGACUAGAGUGAUGUAGGGGAGACUGGAAUUCCUGGUGUAGCGGUGAAAUGCGCAGAUAUCAGGAGGAACACCGAUGGCGAAGGCAGGUCUCUGGGCCGAUAUUGACGCUGAGGAGCGAAAGCGUGGGGAGCGAACAGG
rnacentral:rRNA from 1 species